GCUGCUGUUUUAAAUCUCUUCAGAUAGAAGACAAAAAAAAUACAGAUAGAAUUUAUUACAGUAGCUUAGAUUAUUAUUCGUUUCUGUCUAUUAUUUUCUAGAAGAGAAAGAAGCUUGCAAAGGGAGCAACAGUUAUUGCACCCAACAUUCAGAAUCUGUGUGUAAAGAGAAGAUUUGGGGGAAGAACACUUCUUCAUACAGGGGUUUUCUUAUUCCAAAUCUCCUAUUCUUUGUAUUUGUCUGAUAAUGUGUGUAUUAGAAAUGUGUGUUAGUACCAUAUUUAUAAACUAACUCCAUUUUUAGGAUUGCAAUGUAACCUUUUGAAUAGCUUAAUCGACUUUCUCUCUCUUUUUAUAUAAUGAAUCAUUUUGGAAUGGGUUAUUGUAUUUUGUAUGUAUUGUCUGAUUGCUUGAUAAAGAAAUUGGUAUUGAUAGUGAUGGAAAUUGAUAAAUGGAUAUUAUUGUCUUUCUUUAAAUACAACAACACCUGUUAUGACCUUGACAUUUGAAUGUGGGCUUAAUGUGCCAAUAGGAUAGACAUAUCCUUAUUUGCCUUGUGUGACCUUGGAGCUGAGCUUAAUGACCUUGACCUAGUUAGUUUCACCAAUAGACAUAUUGUGUUCUAGCUUGUUAGGGAUGUGCAUUUGACCUUCGACAGAAGCUUAUGCCUUUUAUUGUUCUCGGUUGACCAUUCCUUGAUUCGUUUG
rnacentral:lncRNA from 1 species